CAGGCGAGCUGUCCGUCCUUUCCGACCUCAAACCGGUGGCUCAAGGGGCCAGUGCGCUUGGGUUUCCCGCUCAGGGAACCAAAAUUUUACCUGGCAAGAAACCCAAGAGGCCUUCAGGGAAAUGGAGGAACACUCUUUAUUAAGCCGGCGGGCCCGGAAGGGUUUACACCCAAAAGUCUGGACCCCCCGCUAGGAAAAGUACACAGUUUUUACAGAGCAACAGGAGAUGUACCUGAACAUCCUCUUAAUAGCCAUGAUUUGAUGUCAGAAUGGGACAAAGAGGAGAGAAGGGGUUUCACCAUGUUGACCAGGAUGGUCUUGAUCUCUUGACCUCAUGAUCUGCUUGCCUCGGCCUCCCAAAGUGCUAGGAUUACAGGCAUGAACUACCGUGCCCCGCCAGGUAACAUGUUCUUAUACCUCCUAUAAUGGUUAAUCUUAUAAGUCAUCUGGGAAACCAGGAGCCCAGAUAUUUGGUUAAACAAUAUUCUGAGUAUUUCUUAUAAGGGUGUUUCUGGAUAAGUUUAACAGUGUGAGUGGGCAUCCUCCAAUUCAUUUUAAGCCUAAAUAAUAGAACAAAAGGUGGGAUAAGAGAGAAUUUGCUCCCUCUACUUAACUGCUUUUGAGUUAGUGUAAUACUCUUCUUUUGCACUCAGAUUGGAACUUAUUCCACUGGCUCUUCUGGGUCUUAGGUUGUCACACUCCAUCUGCUGGGAGGGAUUAGAAUUUCAUUUUUGGUUGGCGAUAUAAUCUUUUCUCCAAUAUAGAAAAUUAGUAAUGGGCUAUUUUACAUUUCUUUUAAUUGUGCUAGGUCUUCAAAACCUUGUAUGUAUUUUUAUACUUAAAGCACAUCUCAAUUUAGUUUAGCCAUAUUUCAGUUGCUUGGUAACCACACCUGGCUACUAUACUGAACAACAGAGCACAAGACUGUCAGCUCCUUACAUAUUCUUGAAAGUUUCUCAUAGAGACUCACUUCUGGAUCCCCAAAGCCUAGCUCAGAGCUUAGCACAUAAUAGUUGCUAAAUACAUGUUUGAUUAAUAGAAAACAUCCUUUAGGCUAAUACAGAAUAGCUUUUUGUAUAUGGUGAGAAGGUUAAUUUUUAGACAUUAAGAAAAAAAUAACAAUGAGAAAGGAAGACAGGAAGUAGUAUUUCAUUUAUAUAUGUGUGUGUGUACUAUAAGUAUUGCAUGUUGGGUGGUUGCAACAAUGUGUUUACAUUUAUCUUGUUGCUAUUGUUUUGGCAUUUGAUUGAAAAUACCCUCUAGGAUGUUCCCUUUUUGUUAUGCACAAUAUGUUCAUGUAACUUUUUUAUCACCUCUAUUAGAUAAUACUGGCAUUGGAAGGCAGUAUCUUCUUCUCAUUCAUCUUCUUAUUCCCUGCAGUACAAAUAACAGAGCACCCACUCCAUAAAGAUGUGGGCCAUCUCUAGAGUAAAUUUCCUGAGGUUUGCCUUCUUCCUUACAGUAUAUUCACCGUAAUCUAUGAGGAAUCUGCCUGCUGCAGGCACAGUUUUUGAUGUAAAUUUUCUUGUUAAGUUUUGUAGCUUAUUUUUGUAUCUCACAUAAAGAAUAAUAAUGUAAAUAAAAUGCCCC
rnacentral:lncRNA from 13 species